rnacentral:lncRNA from 1 species
UGAACCAAAAGCUCUGAAACUGAUGAUGAAAUGCACCCAUUUCUUAGGUACUCUUCAAGGAUAGGUGUCUGGCUCUUAUUGUACCACUCUGCCUCCACCAAUAAUGCUUUACAAAAAUCUGCCCACUUAGAAACAGAAAUAAUUUUUUUAACUAUAAAUAUAUACAUAAAAUUCAAAGCAAACAAGAAAGAAGAAAUGUUAUGGCAAUCUAAAAAUGUUAUCUGCAAUUAACCCAUAUAAAAAUAUGCAAAGAAUUUACAUUUCGGAAAGUACAGGAUGACCUUUUCAAAAUGACCUUUUCAAAGUGAAAAUAACAGUUAAAAAAACAACAAAACCGGGUUAGGUUGAGUACCACUUUGGUCAAGUGAGGUAAUCUAUUAUCCAAUCUUUCUCCUCCUCAAGUUCAUGAGCAAUUUCACAAGUAGUGUUGCAGAGUACUUUAAACACAUCUUCAUCCGCGAAAUGGUGGUUCUCUAAUGUGCCCUUUUCAUCCAUGAAUCUACCAAAUAUAUUUGUGUUUCACACCACACAUAAUCAGUUAAACAAUAAGACUUGUUUAAUUAUAAGAUAAAUUUAUGGAAAUGAUUUAGAAGUGCUUAGGUCUAAACGCAUGGCUACGAAUUAUUUACCUUGUGAAACUUUAUUGCCAUGCUGCCUGAGGAUCUUGAAGUGUAAUGCAGUAGUUGAUUUCCUUUUCGAAGUGGUUCGCGAUGCCUAGUUUUUGGAUGCUGUCAAUCAGCUGUAAGUUCUAUUUGAGAGCAAACACUUUGUGAUUUGUACAAAGUCUUUUGGGACGAUAAGGAGAUUAACUUUAUCACAUGUGGCAGACUUAUAAGGAGUUGUAUUACUUAGGUAUACAAGUCAGAAACAUUCUUAGAUAAACUAGAACUCUUCUAGCUGAUUUAUGCACAAGUAAUCUUCGGUGAUAAAGUUCAUCUUUGAUAGGGUUUACUUAAUGGGAGGACUCCUAAUCAAAGACCAUCACCUAUAGUAUAUAACUGAGGUCCCUGUGCUCUCACUAAAUACCUGCAAGUAUACAGAAAUCCUCAAGCCCCAUUGAGUGAGCCUUGCUUCCGGACAGUGCAGAGACACAGAAGAGCCUCAGUUCUUUACCCUAUUUCUGAGACGAUGUCUUCAUCAGGUUAGUGGUUAGAUUGGUAUAUGAGUCAGUCGUUAUAUAUGUAUAUAACCUAAAGAAUUAACUUACAUUUGGUAUCAGAGCCCUCACAUAUCAUCUGACCCUAUGUGAAAGGCAUCAAGAAAUUUCAUUCUGUCUUGCAGGUUAUGGAACUGGAACUGUAUCAUCAAGGAAAAAUAUAUACAACACGUUCAAGGACGACUAAAGUUAUCCUUGAUCAUAAGGAUAUUAUGUUUUUCAAUCGAUACAUGUACCAGUGAUGGUGCUUAAAAUUCAAGACAUGAUUAUUGAUCAUCUAAAGAUGAUUUUUCUUUCAUGCUUCGAAUUUGAGCAGCAUAUCAUUUUAUAUAUAUAUAUUUGAAUCAAAUUAAUAUUGUCAAACCACAAAGGCUUGUGAUUUUAAUUACAGAAAUUCGAAUGUUGACUAUAAAAGUGAUAUGAUUAAAGAAAGUUUUCACAUAUUCAUCAAUCUAAAGAUGUUGAAGAUGUGAUUUAUGGUUUGGGGUUAAAGAUUAAUACUCUUUACAUCAUGAACGUUUCCUUUUCAGUGAAUCCCAGCUCUUUGAAUCUCAAUACAGUUGAGCCUCUUACUGGUGUCAACUACAGAAAGUGGAAACAAGAUCUCGAAAUCGUUUUGGGAGUUAUGGACUGGGAUUUGGCACUGAGAACUGAAGAACCUCCGGCACUCACUGAUGACAGCACUGCAAAUCAGAAAUCCAAGUAUGAAAAAUGGCACAAAUCCAACAGAAUUGCCCUAUUGAUCAUCAAAAGGAGCAUGACAGAUGUGGUGAGAGGUGGCUUUCCUGAUGAAGCAAAUGCAAAAGAUUUUUUGAAGUCCAUUGAGGCAAAGUAUAGGGAAUCACCAAAAACUGAGACAGGUAAUCUCAUGAAUGCUCUCACUACCAUGAGAUAUGAUGGGGUUCAAAGUUUGUGAGAAUACAUAUUGAAAAUGGUGGACGUUGUUGCUGGAAAACUCAAUGCACUCGAGGUACCAAUUUCUGAUACUUUUCUGGUACAUGUCAUUAUGAAUUCUCUGCCUGAAAGUUAUACACAACUCAAAGUUUAUUAUAAUGGUCUACGUGAGAAAUGGGAUGUGAAUGAAUUGAUAGCUAUUUGUGUGAGUGAAGAAGAAAGGAUGAAGAAAGAAAGGUUUGAGAAAGAGAGAAUUGAGUCUGUGAACCUUGUCCAAAGUGUCACUAGGGCCACUAAAUUUCAUGUUCCCGAUACUGCCAAAAAGGAUUCUACCAAGUCAGUUCCCUCUCCUAAAAGAAACUUCAAGCUUAAUAAACUUUCAGUUUUCAAGUGCUAUUUUUGCAAAAAGGCAGGCCACAUGAAGAAAAGCUGUCCCAAAUAUAAGGCUUGGCUUGCCAAACAAGAAGCAAAGAAAGGUAAAAAUGUUUUUGCUUGUUUUGAAUCAAAUUUAAUUAACAUACCCAGCACUGAAUGGUGGCUUGACUCGGGCUCUUCUAUACAUGUUACAACUUCAUUACAAGACUUCACAACAUGGAGAACACCAAAUAAGGAUGAAGUCAAAGUUUCGGUUGGCAAUGGAAGAAGAGUUGAAGUCAAAGCCCUAGGAAGUGUUAGACUAAAGCUAGAAUUUGGUUUUUAUUUAGAGUUAGAUAACGUGUUUAUGUGCCUUCCAUGAAAAGGAAGUUGAUUUCUAUUUCAAAGCUAGUGUUAUUGGGUUUUUAUUUUACUAUUAAUAAAAGGGGCUUUAACGUUUUUUAUGAAUCUUCUCAAGUAGGACAUGGUUUCAUGAGUGAUGGUAUGUUUCAACUUAAAUUAAAUCAAACUGAAUAUGUUUUCAACGUACAAGAUGAUAAAAUCAAAACUCAACAGUCUUCAAUAUUAUGGCAUAAGAGACUCGGCCAUAUUUCUAAACAAAGAAUGGAGCUGCUUGUCAAAAACGAAAUUCUACCUCCAUUAAACUUCAAUGACUUUGAAUUUUGUGUGGAUUGCAUUAAAGGGAAAAUGACAAACACUAGAAAGGAAGGCUCAACUAGGAGUAAGCAACCCUUAGAGAUCAUUCACACGGACAUUUGUGGUCCUUUUCCCACACAAACCUUAGAAGGAAACAAAUAUUUCAUUACUUAUAUUGAUGAUUUCUCAAGAUUUUGCUUCAUUUAUUUGAUUUCAGAAAAGUCUAAAGCACUUGAAACUUUUUAAAAUUUAUAAAAGUGAAGUCGAAAAUCAAUUGGAAAGGAACAUUAAGGUUGUAAGAUCUGAUAGGGGAGGGGAGUACUAUGGUAGAUAUACUGAAAUUGGUAGAAAUCCUGGACCUUUUGCGUUAUUUCUGCAAGAACAUGGAAUUGUAGCCCAAUAUACCACACCAGGUACUCCGGAGCAAAACGGAGUAGCCGAGAGGAGGAAUAGAACUCUCAUGGACAUGGUAAGGAGCAUGAUUUGUAGAACUAAUCUGCCAAGUUGUUUGUGGGGAGAAGCAGUGAAAACUGCAAAUUAUAUAUUUAAAUAGGGUACCUUCUAAAUCUGUGGAAGGGACACCUUUCGAACUAUGGACAGGCAGAAAACCGAGUUUAAACCACUUGCAUGUAUGGGGCUGUAGAGCAGAGGCAAAGAUAUAUAAUCCAGGCUACAAGAAACUUGAUUCAAAGACUGUCAGUUGUCGUUUUAUUGGAUAUGCUGAAAGGUCGAAGGGUUUUAGAUUUUAUUGCCCUAACCAAAAUACAAGAAUUGUCGAAACUGGAAAAGCAGUUUUCAUGGAGUCUGAUGCAAGCGUCGAUUCUGGGACAAGGGUUGAAGGGUUUGUAUUUGAAGAAGAAAUAAACAAUCAAGAAGCAGCAGUUGAAGACGUUGAUCGUAACACAGCGAUUAUGGCACCGAUAGUUGUAGUAACCGAGAUAAUGGGAAGCAAUGAUUCUGAUGAACCAAGUCACGAGAUAGAGGUUGCACAUGACAUCGAACUGCACGAUAACACUGUUGUACAAGACGUGUUUGAAGAGGUUGUGACAGAAAAUCAACAACAACAACACCAUGCACAUGAAGACAACAUCACGGCUGCGGGUGCUGCAAAUAUAAGAAUGUCAUCUAGGGUUAGAAAACCUACAACCCUAAAUGAUUUCGUAUAUUUGACACAGGUUGACACUGAUCUUUCAGAGUUUAAUGAUCCGAUGAGUUACAAAGAAGCAAUUGCAGGACCAGAUGCUGAUAAAUGGAUAGAAGCCAUGAAGAGUGAACUGAGUUCGAUGGCAAACAAUCAAGUGUGGGAUCUAGUGGAACAGGCAGAAGGAUCAAAACCCAUAAGAUGCAAAUGGGUUUUCAAAACAAAAAAGGAUUCAAACGGAAACAUAGAAAGGCACAAAGCCAGGCUUGUUGCGAAAGGCUUCACGCAAAAGGAGGGUGUAGACUACAAAGAAACAUUCAGCCCCGUGUCGACAAAAGAUGCGUUUAGGGUUAUUAUGUCUAUGGUGGCUCAUUUUGAUUUGAUUUUACAUCAAAUGGAUGUAAAAACGGCGUUCUUGAAUGGGGACCUGGAAGAAUGCAUUUACAUGCGUCAACCAGAAGGUUUCAAGGAGGGAGAAGGAAGAAACCUAGUGUGCAAACUCAACAAAUCCAUAUAUGGAUUGAAGCAAGCAUCACGGCAAUGGUACUUGAAAUUUCAUAGAAUUGUGAAAGAACAUGGCUUCACCGAGAAUCCUUCAGACAAUUGCAUUUAUCUGAAGUUCAGUGGUAGCAACUUUAUCAUCCUAGUUCUCUAUGUGGAUGAUAUAUUACUUGCCACGAAUUCUCACAGUUUGUUGGAUGAUACAAAAACUUUUUUGCAGAAGCAUUUUGAAAUGAAAGACAUGGGAGAAGCGACAUAUGUUUUGGGCAUUGAGAUCAAAAGGGAUAGAAUGAGAGGUUUGCUAGGCUUGUCACAGAAAGCAUACAUAGAGAAAAUGUUAAGAAGGUUUAAUAUGUCUUCGUGUGGAACUACUGAGAUGCCUAUAUCGAAGGGUGAUAAAUUGAGUAAGCAGCAGUGUCCACAAACAGACUUAGAGAGGAAGGCUAUGGAUGACAAACCAUACGCCUCCCUGGUGGGAAGUUUAAUGUAUGCACAGGUGUGCACAAGGCCUGACUUGGCUUUCACCAUUUCCGUGCUUGGGAGGUUUCAAUCCAAUGCAGGUGAAGCUCACUGGAAUGCUGCCAAAAGAGUUUUGAGAUACCUUCAGAGAACCAAGGACCAUAUGUUGGUGUAUAAAAGAACCGAGAGUUUGGUUUUGGAAGGGUAUAGUGAUUCUGAUUUUGCCGGUUGUCCAGAUGAUAUGAAGUCAACUACAGGUUAUGUUUUCUUAAUGGCAUGUGGUGCGGUUUCUUGGAAGUCUGUCAAACAAGGAACUGUGGCAGCGUCAACAAUGGUUGCAGAGUAUUUAUCAGUCUGUGAAACAGUGAAUCAAGCUGUUUGGUUGAAGAAUUUCAUAGUUGGGCUUCAAGUAGUGGACUCUAUAUCGAGACCUAUACAGAUUUUCUGUGAUAAUAAUGCAGCCAUAUUCUUUACUAAAAAUAAUAAGAGAUCUAAUGCAACAAGGAAUUUGGAUAUAAAAUAUCUCAUUGCUCGAGAGAAGGUGAUGGCCGGUUUAGUUAAGGUUGAUUAUUUGGAGACUGGAUCCAUGAUCGCUGAUCCGUUAAAUAAAGCAGUUCCCACCAUCGUUUUCAAGAAGCAUGUCACUAGCAUGGGAGUCUUGGCUGGUUUUGAUGCAGCGAAUUAGUGGGAGCUAUGCAACAGGUUUCAACUUUUAUGCUAGUUUUCAUUCAAUAGCAAUUUAUGUUAUAGAGGAUAAGUUUGAGUAUUAACAAUGAAGUUUUCUUAGCUAAUAAAGAAUAAAGCUGAAAGGUUGUUCAAGUUUCCUUAAAGGGUUCAGUUUUUAGCUAUGAUAAUGCAUGAAUAUUUUGCAUGCUGUUUAUGAUUUUUAUUCAUUACACAGUGUCGGACAACCUGAGGGCUUUAUAUAGAAGCACAUGGAUCGUUUUGAUUCUGAAAGGGACCAAAUGUUAGACAUAAUUAAUACAUGUUCGGUUGUGUCUUGCAUGCUAUAUAUCUUGUUGGAAUCUUAUGUGUUGAUAAGCUUUACUGCAAGUAAUUAUGGGGACGGUACUCUUCAGUGUAAUGAGUGUGUUGCCCUAUAAUUCUCAUGAAUGCUUAACAAUGACGAAGACUGGAAAACUAAGAAGUGUCGAAAGUUAAUCUCAUGGCCAAUUCAGAUCCUUCCCAACUCCAGUAUGAUUAUACAACUUUACAAAGUAUUUGCUCUAGUGGGAGAAUGUAAGUUCUAUUUGAGAGCAAACACUUUGUGAUUUGUACAAAGUCUUUUGGGACGAUAAGGAGAUUAACCUUAUCACAUGUGGCAGACUUAUAAGGAGUUGUAUUACUUAGGUAUACAAGUCAGAAACAUUCUUAGAUAAACUAGAACUCUUCUAGCUGAUUUAUGCACAAGUAAUCUUCGGUGAUAAAGUUCAUCUUUGAUAGGGUUUACUUAAUGGGAGGACUCCUAAUCAAAGACCAUCACCUAUAGUAUAUAACUGAGGUCCCUGUGCUCUCACUAAAUACCUGCAAGUAUACAGAAAUCCUCAAGCCCCAUUGAGUGAGCCUUGCUUCCGGACAGUGCAGAGACACAGAAGAGCCUCAGUUCUUUACCCUAUUUCUGAGACGAUGUCUUCAUCAGGUUAGUGGUUAGAUUGGUAUAUGAGUCAGUCGUUAUAUAUGUAUAUAACCUAAAGAAUUAACUUACAUCAGCUCCAACUUAGCUACUAAAUGGAAGAAGCUUAGAAAUAUAUGUAUAACUCACACCAUAUUUGCUGUUAAGAGAUUGAUCUAGGAAAUCAUACUUCCAAAUACUUGGUUUGUAAUUGGCAGAUCGUCUUUGAUUAGUCAAGUAAGAGGUUUCGGGUUCGAGUUUCAUCUGGUUUUGAAGAAUUUGCUGCUCAUGAUCAGCUUGCAAGUACUGUAAACUCCAUGGUGAAGACUUAGUCUGAUGUACAAGAAGCUCGAGAUAUUUGGGAUAUCAAAUGAAUCUCCGGAGGGGUGGGUCAUAUAGGCAAAGGUAUUGGAAACUCCACACUGUGUUUACUGGUCAAUAUAUUAGUCAUGGGUACUGUUUAUAGCGUUCACAAUAUUUCACUUGGAAAACGAGAAAAAUAUCAAUGAGUUUAUGAUAUCAAGGGGAGGGAAAAAAUGGUGGAGAGAAUCCUACUCCUUUUUUUAUGUUUAAUAUAUAUGAAAUGUUGGCUUUAAAUCAGAUCAACUCAGUUAUGAGAUGCUUUGAUAUGUUGCAAAACCUACAUCUGAAACGAGAAAGUUUCAGCCAUCCGCUUAGAUAUAUAUUUGACAUUUUCGCAAGAGACUACUCUAAUUAGGUUAAAAGAUUGAACUCGGGGGCACAUUAGAGUGAGCGCUUUAAAUAACUAUUUUGAUUUACACAUGUCAUUGUUUUAAUUCACAUAAAGAUGAUUGAGCUCGAAUACAAAAAUAUUAGACACAUUAACCUGAACAACCUAGUCUAACUCACACAUAUUUCAUCAUAACCAAAAUCAAGUUGAAUUCUAAUUUGGCUCCCGGAGAUUCUAGUACAGAAAAAUCAUACAACAAAUUCGAAUCCCAUAAUAAGCAAAACUUUGCUUUUCCAAUUAAUGUCGGGCAAUGAUAUUUCAUUCAAUAGCAAAUUCAAGAUUUUAAUGAUGGGUGAUCUCAAUAUAAAAGUUCAAAAAAAAUAAAUAAAUAACAUUAAAAAAAUAAACGACAAACUACAACUUUUUAUUCAUAAUCUUUGUGCAACAACGUUACAAACUGUAAAGAUUAAUUUAUCCAUGACGAACUGAACCGCAAACUUCUUGCUGCUAUUUAUUUCAAACUAUAUGAGUACUAGUUUACAAGAGGUUGGAAUAGUAAAGACAGGAUGUGGGUCCGAGGCCCUUUCUCUUGGUCACCAAACCCAUCUCCAUCUUUGUAAAGGCUGUGCGCCACACGUGCCAUGUUUGUGGCAUUGUUCAUGAAUGAUGACAGAAAAGGCACUUGGUUUGUUGUGAAGCAUUUUCCAUUUACUUUCUUCCAUGCAUUGUCUAUCAUGCCCUUAAUGUUCUUCCUAGCUGUUUCUUCAGAGGCAUUCACUUCUCUCAUGUAACAUACGAUUGAUGAAGGAGAAUCCCCUCUCUCUUGUUCAGCCUGUUAAUCAUUUCAUUAAUUAUGUCGUGAUUAGAUUUUUUGUUUAGUUUUUUCGACUGUAAAGAAUGAAAGAAAUAAAAAAGAUUACCACGGAAGUUCCCAAAUCAUUGUUGAGGCGAACGAUGAGAGAGAUAUUAUACAAAAGAUCUUCAUUCUUGUGAAGAAAAUCAGCCAUCUCUUUGGUUCCCUCAUGAGUUAUAGAGAAAAACGAGUGAACCAAAAGCACUGAAACUGAUGAUGAAAUGCAUCCGUUUCUUAGGUACUCUUCAAGGGUUGGUAUAUGGCUCUUAUUAUACCACUCUGCCUCCACCAAUAAUGCUUUACAAAAAUCUGCCCACUAAGAAUCAGACAAAUAAGUUCAGCUAUAAAUAUAUAUACACACAUAAAAAUCAAAGCAAACAAAAAAAGAGAAUUGUUAUUGGCAAUCUAAAAAUGUUAUAUGCACUCAUCCGUUAUAAAAAUGUAACGGAGAAUUUACACUUCGGCAAGUUUAGGAUGAUCUUUCCAAAGUGCCAAUAACAGCUAAAAAACAAAACAAAACUGGCUUAGGUUGAGUACCA